GUAACGCGUAUACAAUCUGCCUUGUACUGGGGGAUAGCCUUUAGAAAUGAAGAUUAACACCCCAUAAUAUAUUUAUACCGCAUGGUAUUUAUAUUAAAGGUUACGGUACAAGAUGAGUAUGCGUCCUAUUAGCUAGUUGGUAUGGUAACGGCAUACCAAGGCAACGAUAGGUAGGGGCCCUGAGAGGGGGAUCCCCCACACUGGUACUGAGACACGGACCAGACUCCUACGGGAGGCAGCAGUGAGGAAUAUUGGACAAUGGGGGCAACCCUGAUCCAGCCAUGCCGCGUGCAGGAAGACUGCCCUAUGGGUUGUAAACUGCUUUUGUACGGGAAGAAACCGUCCUACGUGUAGGGCCUUGACGGUACCGUAAGAAUAAGCAUCGGCUAACGCCGUGCCAGCAGCCGCGGUAAUACGGAGGAUGCAAGCGUUAUCCGGAAUCAUUGGGUUUAAAGGGUCCGUAGGUGGGCCGGUCAGUCAGAGGUGAAAUCCUGCAGCUCAACUGUAGAACUGCCUUUGAUACUGCCGGUCUUGAAUCGUUGUGAAGUGGUUAGAAUAUGUAGUGUAGCGGUGAAAUGCAUAGAUAUUACAUAGAAUACCGAUUGCGAAGGCAGAUCACUAACAGCGUAUUGACACUGAUGGACGAAAGCGUAGGUAGCGAACGGGAUUAGAUACCCCGGUAGUCUACGCCGUAAACGAUGGAUACUAGCUGUGCGGCUUCGGCUGUGUGGCUAAGCGAAAGUGAUAAGUAUCCCACCUGGGGAGUACGUUCGCAAGAAUGAAACUCAAAGGAAUUGACGGGGGCCCGCACAAGCGGUGGAGCAUG
rnacentral:rRNA from 1 species